rnacentral:rRNA from 1 species
UACAGAGGGGGCAAGCGUUAUUCGGAAUUAUUGGGCGUAAAGGGCGCGUAGGCGGCUUGGCAAGUGGAAGGUGAAAUCCCUCGGCUUAACCGAGGAACUGCGUCUGAUACUGGAUGGCUUGAGUUUGGGAGAGGGAUGCGGAAUUCCAGGUGUAGCGGUGAAAUGCGUAGAUAUCUGGAGGAACACCGGUGGCGAAGGCGGCAUCCUGGACCAACACUGACGCUGAUGAGCGAAAGCCAGGGGAGCAAACGGG